rnacentral:rRNA from 1 species
CGUCUAUAUACGUAUAGCAUAUCAAUAAGCGGAGGAAAAGAAACUAACUAGGAUUCCCUCAGUAACGGCGAGUGAAGCGGGAAGAGCUCAAAUUUGAAAUCUUCAAGGUUCUACCUUGACGAAUUGUAGUUUAAAGAAGUGUUUUCUGUUGGAGUUUUGGUAAAAGUUCUUUGGAAUAGGACAUCAUAGAGGGUGAGAAUCCCGUAUUUGACCAUUAUUUCCAACUUUGUGAUACACUUUCAAAGAGUCGGAUUGUUUGGGAAUGCAGUCCAAAAUGGGUGGUAAAUUUCAUCUAAAGCUAAAUACUGGCGAGAGACCGAUAGCGAACAAGUACCGUGAGGGAAAGAUGAAAAGAACUUUGAAAAGAGAGUUAAACAGUACGUGAAAUUGUCAAAAGGGAAGCGUUUGACACCAGUGUUGUUUUCUCGAAAAUCAAUUAAAAAUGGUGGGAUGUUGUGUUGUUAUUGACUUUAUCAGCUUUCUGCACUUUUUUUCCUAUCUUUUUUAAUGCACUUUUCGUUUAACAAGUCAACAUCAAUUUCUUUUGUUGUAAAAGAGUCAUUGGAAGGUGGCUUUCUUUUCGGAGAAAGUGUUUAUAGCCUUUGGCUUCUGCAAUCGGAGAGAUUGAGGUCUGCAGCGUAGAUCCUUCGGGGUUAGAUACAUUUGCGCUAAGUUAUAGCCUUUCAUAGACAACUUGUUGACUAUGAUCAGUCAUGUAGCUUACUCGCUUAUGUCAUUUUACCUACGCUUAGGAUGUUGAUAUGCAUGACUGAUAU